GACGAACGCUGGCGGCGUGCUUAACACAUGCAAGUCGAACGAAGAGCGAUGGAAGCUUGCUUCUAUCAAUCUUAGUGGCGAACGGGUGAGUAACGCGUAAUCAACCUGCCCUUCAGAGGGGGACAACAGUUGGAAACGACUGCUAAUACCGCAUACGAUCCAACCUCGGCAUCGAGGAUGGAUGAAAGGUGGCCUCUAUUUAUAAGCUAUCACUGAAGGAGGGGAAUGCGGCUGAUUAGCUAGUUGGAGGGGUAACGGACCACCAAGGCAAUGAUCAGUAGCCGGCCUGAGAGGAUGGACGGCCAAAUUGAGACUGAGACACGGCCCAGACUCCUACGGGAGGCAGCAGUGGGGAAUCUUCCGCAAUGGACGAAAGUCUGACGGAGCAACGCCGCGUGAGUGAUGACGGCCUUCGGGUUGUAAAGCUCUGUUAAUCGGGACGAAAGGUCUUCUUGCGAAUAGGUAGAAGAAUUGACGGUACCGGAAUAGAAAGCCACGGCUAACUACGUG
rnacentral:rRNA from 1 species